GAAACUCUAGAGAGCAUGAGACCUGGUUCAUGCACCGUCGGGGCAACCGCCGCCAAGCGGCGGGAAUCUCUCAGGUAAAAGGACAGAGACAC
rnacentral:ncRNA from 1 species